UAACCUACAGCUCAGUGGGAGAGUGCAUGCAUUGUAUGUAUGAUAUCCUGGGUUCAAUUCCUAGGUUAA